rnacentral:lncRNA from 1 species
UACACUUGUGACAAAAUACUUCAGAGUGCACUAUAAAUAGUCUUUCGAACCCAAUCACAUAACAUGCACUGUUUGGUCAGGGGAUAGCUGCUAUCAGCCAAAUGACAUGUUUUAUGACUUUUAAAAGUGUGACAAUUAUUGGUAUAUAUAUGGCUUCGUAUCUUUUAUUCUGUAACUCUUAAUAGUUGUCGUUUAGCUAUUUCCCUAGCAAAAUACAUUUGCACUCCAAGGAAAAAAAAAAACAUAAGCAUAAAAAAAUUUGUAUUCAUCCGUGCAUACAUGCUCUUUACCUCAUUUACCAUUCAUUUACUUACAAAAAUUUUAAGCUUUUUAUAUUAAGUUAAACUUUCAC